AUAUAGAUAUAAAAUUUUUGAGCUUAAGUGGAUUUUUUUUGAGUGUUUUAAUCUUUUCAGUUGACCUGUGUUAGAACAGUUGGAUCAGACCGGAGACUUUGAAUCAUCCAAAAUUUGUUCUGCUUUGAAGACAAACCACCCUCUUAACUGUUUACUUCUUUCUGCUUAAUGCAGUGUCAGCUGGGGGACCAGAUCUGUCUCAUUUCCUAGUAGCAUACUGAAAUAGUUUUCUAUGAGAAAUGCUGCGGUUUUUUACUGCACAAAUACAAUCCUUUGCUGAGAUUAUAAUUGUUUCCUACCAUCAGUGAUUCUUCUUUUUUCUUGUUCUACUUUCUAGGUCUCAGUAUUGUUCUGUGUCUUGGAACUGCAGGUUUGCCACAAAAGAAAAUUUGGUUGUUUCAAGAUCUGCUCUGCUCGUCCUGCUCAGGAAUGGUGGGACUGCCUUUUCAUCUGUGAAUCCUCUGCUGCUGCCUGCCUUAUUUUCACAGUGAGUCUCUCGGUCUGCUUACCACUUGAAAUAGUGCCUAACACACUUUCUCAGACCAACUAGGGAAGAAAAGAGGAGUUACCUCCAAAAGUCGAAGUAACGUGGGCUAAGCAAACCCAAAGGAGAUGGUAGAGCUCCCUGUAAAUUAUCACUUCAAUCCAAAAGAACUUGCUUUUUGUAGGCCUUUCUUUUGACCAGCCUAGUUACCAGAUAAGUAUUAAUUGUACUAGAGGAAGGAAAAUAAUUAUCUUAUUGCUCUUUGGUGAGAUAUGACUCUCUGGAUAAACAGGAGCCAUGCAUAUUGCACAUAAAUAACUUACAAGUUUAACUAUCCCUAACUUCAGGUGAACUUUUCAGCAGCUGCAGACUCGCAUGAAAGUCUUCCAGAUGCAUAUUAGAAAUCCUAAUGUGAAAGGAGAGUCAGCUACAGUUUUCUUCUCUGAAACUAUCCGGUAACUUAUUUUUCUCCCUCAAAUGUCUGUCAGAUCAUUGCUCUGUCUGAAACACUUUCUUUCCCAUCAUUAACAUAAGUAAUUGACCUUUUUAAUAAUGACAGAGAACAGAGAAGAAGUGUGGAGGGAACUCUGUAUAUCCACACAGUGGGGUUCUUGGCUGUGUCCUCAUUUAUCCUUGCAGAUGAAGUAGUUUAGAGUGUUUAGGGACAGUGAACUUAGUGGCUGUGUUUAGGGCAUGUUUGUAUUAUUUUAUAUUUUGACAACAGCAAAUACUUGGUAAAUGCCCAGUAAACUAUCCCAUUGAUUUUUCCAACCCUGACAAAGAAUCUGACUCACAUUUGCUGACUAAGCAGAUGUUCUUAUAUAUGGUUUCCAGUUGUACUUUAUAAAUGACUUUAAUUUACAGCACAUUGCACGGCUACGUCUCUAAAUCCCCAUGCAAUAAUUUGUAUCUUUAUUCUCAAUAGUUUAAUUGUUUGUGAUUGUCUUUUUUGAAGGUAACUUCUUGAUAAUUCAGUUGAACAGGUUUUUUUCC
rnacentral:lncRNA from 1 species